rnacentral:misc_RNA from 1 species
GGAGUUCAGUCUUCCCAGGCCCACCAUUUUGAUCGAGUGCGGAGCAUUCGUCUUCUGGUACGGGGCCAUAGCUCAGCUGGGAGAGCGCGUGCUUUGCAAGCAUGAGGUCGUCGGUUCGAUCCCGUCUGGCUCCACCAGAUGGUUUGAUCACCAACGGCGUUACCGUCGUCCGCGAAACAUCACUUCGCACGCAUUGGUCCGGAUGGACGGUGACGUGCGUGUUUUCUGACAUCGUAAAGAGGAGAUCGAUCCGAGUUUGGAUCCAGCGAAGCAAUUCGCGGGUACCAUUCCUAAUCUCCAGAUCGUUUUCGGCGCUCGCGCAUCGCAGCUCAUCGCAAGAUGAGUGAGGUGAGCGAGUUGUAAAACGAUCUUUGUAGCGAAGCUUGGCCGCCUCGCUAUCGGGCCGAUCUUACGAAGCAAGCUGGUCUUUCUAGUCAAUGUCCGGCUGCGCAAUCGCAUUCAUCGAGGAUGCGCGCCUGAGACUUCGGUCUUUGGGCAAUUGUGCAGACAACAUUCUGCCGAGUGUGUGGACAUUGAUAAUGAGAGCAAUCAAGUGCCUUAAGGGUGUUCGGUGGAUGCCUUGGCGCUGAGAGGCGAUGAAGGACGUGCUACGCUGCGAUAAGCCGUGGGGAGCUGCGAAGAAGCUUUGAUCCGCGGAUUUCCGAUG